CACAAAUAUGAAGGCGGGGCUGGAACCUCUCGGGGUUUACAGCCUUGCUGAAUUAUUCACCCUUGUCUUUUUGCGUACUUCUUGUUUUCCUUGGUGGGUUCGCCCACCACUAGGACAAACAUAAAACCUUUUUGUAAUUGCAAUCAGCGUCAGUAAACAAAUUAAUAAUUA
rnacentral:misc_RNA from 1 species